CAAUGGCCGGUACANCGGGAAGCCAGGCGGCGACGCCGAGCGGAACCCGAAAACCGGUCUCAGUUCGGAUCGGAGUCUGCAACCCGACUCCGUGAAGCUGGAUUCGCUAGUAAUCGCGCAUCAGCCAUGGCGCGGUGAAUACGUUCCCGGGCCUUGUACACACCGCCCGUCAAGCCAUGGGAGCCGGGGGUGCUUGAAGUGCGUCGCCGCGAGGCGCGCCCUAGAGCAAAACCGGUGACUGGGGCUAAGUCGUAACAAGGUAAC
rnacentral:rRNA from 1 species